rnacentral:rRNA from 1 species
UACGUAGGGUGCAAGCGUUUGUCCGGAAUUAUUGGGCGUAAAGAGCUCGUAGGCGGUUUGUCGCGUCUGCUGUGAAAACGCGAGGCUCAACCUCGCGCCUGCAGUGGGUACGGGCAGACUGGAGUGCGGUAGGGGAGAUUGGAAUUCCUGGUGUAGCGGUGGAAUGCGCAGAUAUCAGGAGGAACACCGGUGGCGAAGGCGGGUCUCUGGGACGGUACCGACGCUGAGACGCGAAAGCGUGGGGAGCGAACAGG